UGGGGAAUUUUGGACAAUGGGCGAAAGCCUGAUCCAGCAAUGCCGCGUGUGUGAAGAAGGCCUUCGGGUUGUAAAGCACUUUUGUCCGGAAAGAAAUCCUUGGCUCUAAUACAGUCGGGGGAUGACGGUACCGGAAGAAUAAGCACCGGCUAACUACGUGCCAGCAGCCGCGGUAAUACGUAGGGUGCAAGCGUUAAUCGGAAUUACUGGGCGUAAAGCGUGCGCAGGCGGUUUGCUAAGACCGAUGUGAAAUCCCCGGGCUCAACCUGGGAACUGCAUUGGUGACUGGCAGGCUAGAGUAUGGCAGAGGGGGGUAGAAUUCCACGUGUAGCAGUGAAAUGCGUAGAGAUGUGGAGGAAUACCGAUGGCGAAGGCAGCCCCCUGGGCCAAUACUGACGCUCAUGCACGAAAGCGUGGGGAGCAAAACAGGAUUAGAUACCCUGGUAGUCCACGCCCUAAACGAUGUCAACUAGUUGUUGGGGGACUUCAUUUCCUUAGUAACGUAGCUAACGCGUGAAGUUGACCGCCUGGGGAGUACGGUCGGCAAGAUUAAAACUCAAAUGAAUUGACGGGGUCAUA
rnacentral:rRNA from 1 species